CCUACGGGAGGCAGCAGUGAGGAAUAUUGGUCAAUGGACGAGCGUCUGAACCAGCCAAGUAGCGUGAAGGAUGACUGCCCUAUGGGUUGUAAACUUCUUUUAUAUGGGAAUAAAAUGUUCCACGUGUGGGAUUUUGUAUGUACCAUAUGAAUAAGGAUCGGCUAACUCCGUGCCAGCAGCCGCGGUAAGACGGAGGAUCCGAGCGUUAUCCGGAUUUAUUGGGUUUAAAGGGAGCGUAGGUGGAUUGUUAAGUCAGUUGUGAAAGUUUGCGGCUCAACCGUAAAAUUGCAGUUGAAACUGGCAGUCGUGAGUACAGUAGAGGUGGGCGGAAUUCGUGGUGUAGCGGUGAAAUGCUUAGAUAUCACGAAGAACUCCGAUUGCGAAGGCAGCUCACUGGACUGCAACUGACACUGAGGCUCGAAAGUGUGGGUAUCAAACAGGAUUAGAUACCCGUGUAGUC
rnacentral:rRNA from 1 species